GGAGAAAAGCAGGGGAUCGCAAGACCUUGCGCUUUUGGAGCGGCCGAUGUCUGAUUAGCUAGUUGGUGAGGUAAAGGCUCACCAAGGCUUCGAUCAGUAGCUGGUCUGAGAGGACGACCAGCCACACUGGGACUGAGACACGGCCCAGACUCCUACGGGAGGCAGCAGUGGGGAAUUUUGGACAAUGGGGGCAAGCCUGAUCCAGCAAUGCCGCGUGAGUGAAGAAGGCCUUCGGGUUGUAAAGCUCUUUUGUCAGGGAAGAAACGGUGUGGGCUAAUAUCCUGCACUAAUGACGGUACCUGAAGGAUAAGCACCGGCUAACUACGUGCCAGCAGCCGCGGUAAUACGUAGGGUGCAAGCGUUAAUCGGAAUUACUGGGCGUAAAGCGUGCGCAGGCGGUUUUGUAAGUUUGUCGUGAAAUCCCCGGGCUCAACCUGGGAAUGGCGAUGAAGACUGCAAGGCUAGAAUCUGGCAGAGGGGGGUAGAAUUCCACGUGUAGCAGUGAAAUGCGUAGAGAUGUGGAGGAACACCGAUGGCGAAGGCAGCCCCCUGGGUCAAGAUUGACGCUCAUGCACGAAAGCGUGGGGAGCAAACAGGAUUAGAUACCCUGGUAGUCCACGCCCUAAACGAUGUCUACUAGUUGUCGGGUUUUAAUUAACUUGGUAACGCAGCUAACGCGUGAAGUAGACCGCCUGGGGAGUACGGUCGCAAGAUUAAAACUCAAAGGAAUUGACGGGGACCCGCACAAGCGGUGGAUGAUGUGGAUUAAUUCGAUGCAACGCGAAAAACCUUACCUACCCUUGACAUGGACGGAAGCCACGAGAGAUCGAGGUGUGCUCGAAAGAGAACCGUCACACAGGUGCUGCAUGGCUGUCGUUAGCUCGUGUCGUGAGAUGUUGGGUUAAGUCCCGCAACGAGCGCAACCCUUGUCAUUAGUUGCUACGAAAGGGCACUCUAAUGAGACUGCCGGUGACAAACCGGAGGAAGGUGGGGAUGACGUCAAGUCCUCAUGGCCCUUAUAGGUGGGGCUACACACGUCAUACAAUGGCUGGUACAAAGGGUUGCCAACCCGCGAGGGGGAGCUAAACCCAUAAAACCAGUCGUAGUCCGGAUCGGAGUC
rnacentral:rRNA from 1 species